UGGGGAAUAUUGCACAAUGGGCGAAAGCCUGAUGCAGCAACGCCGCGUGAGUGAUGAAGGCCUUCGGGUUGUAAAGCUCUGUCUUUUGGGACGAUAAUGACGGUACCAAAGGAGGAAGCCACGGCUAACUACGUGCCAGCAGCCGCGGUAAUACGUAGGUGGCAAGCGUUGUCCGGAUUUACUGGGCGUAAAGGAUGCGUAGGCGGAUUUUUAAGUGAGAUGUGAAAACCUAAGCUUAACUUGGGGACUGCAUUUCAUANUGGAAAUCUAGAGUGCGGGAGAGGAGAAUGGAAUUCCUAGUNUAGCGGUGAAAUGCGUAGAGAUUAGGAAGAACACCAGUGGCGAAGGCGAUUCUCUGGACCGUAACUGACGCUGAGGCAUGAAAGCGUGGGUAGCAAACAGGAUUAGAUACCCUGGUAGUCCACGCCGUAAACGAUGAGUACUAGGUGUAGGAGGUAUCGACCCCUUCUGUGCCGCAGUUAACACAAUAAGUACUCCGCCUGGAAGUACGAUCGCAAGAUUAAAACUUAAAGGAAUUGACGGGGUCAUAGC
rnacentral:rRNA from 1 species